rnacentral:rRNA from 1 species
ACGGACGGCCAUAGUGGCUUGGAACACCGGUUCCCAUUCCGAACACCGAAGUUAAGCAAGCCGUCGUCCGGUACUGUACUGGUCUUUGGAUCGGGAAAUGCCGGAAGCUGUCCUCU